CCCUGAAUUAUUAAUUUUGGAAAAUUUUCUGUGUGAUAGUCACAUUGAUUCAUACGAGGAGAAUAUUUUGUCCUCAGUGUUCAAAUGUCAAAGUUGGGAACAGAAUGUUUCUUCCCAUCCACUUGUAUAACCAAACUCACAUUUAAAGAGAAUCAUUCAUUAUUCAGUUUCUAUAUUAUAUCUGGUACUUUCACUUUUCCCAAGAAAAAAAGAGCAAGUUCUCCUGUAAAAAGGCCCUGUUUGCCUUAUUUUUUCAGAGUACCAUAUUUUGUGGUCUGUACAGCACCUGGUACAUGGGGUCCUGGUUCGCAACCAGGCUACUGCAAUUAAAAUAAUAAUAAUUAAAAUAUAUUAUGCCUCUUCUCACUCCUUAAGUAAGAGACUUAGGUCACAGCUUAUGGGAUGUCCCGGAAUGUGUAUUGUCCAGAUAUGCUUUCCCAGUGUAUGAGGUUGUUCCAAGCUUUUUAGGAGCUAGAGCAGAAGAUAGGAGGAAGAUCAUCCUCACUGGCCAGAUAGAAUUCAGUCUCCUGAUAUUAUGGGCCAACCGCCAGAAAAGUGAAGAGUGGAACUAGCUGACAGUCGCUUCAUGCCUGAAGAGAAGAAAGUUUCAGCAUGAAAGCAAAGGAAGCAAAGCAUUAAAGGAGCUGGAAAAUAAGGGUUUGCAUAUCCUUGGGAUCUAGCUGGGACAAUGAAAAAGGGAAGAGAAAGUAACAGGUCUGUGGACUGUAGCCACUUUCCCCAACCCUGCAGAAGCCCCAUCCACAAGGAUCCGUUACUUGGGAGGAGACCAGUCAACAUGCCAACUUGCGCAGAAUUCUAAGUGCAGUCCUUCCAGUGCUGUAAAGAAAGGGAUGAUCUACUCUUUAGGCCACAGUAUGUACAGAAGGCAGCGUGUGCCAGCGGAAAGACAUUGAACUGGGAGUCAGAAGACCUUGACUUCAAAAUCUAGACCGAAACUUAGAUUUUAAAUUUUGUUGCUUAGGCCUCUCUCUAAUUAGUAUAUGAGGAUUUUCCAGGCUCCUAGCCAAAUGAAUAUUUUAUAAAGGUCAUAUAUAUCCAUCCAAUGGGUCCAUGCAGUAACAAUCAUUUGGAGGUAUUAUGUGAUGCAGCCCAAUAUUCCAAUAACAUACUGAGGAUAACAAAAGAUGUAGCAUUAGAAAACUAAAUAUAAGAGUAUAAAGUUCAAAGUUUGUUCUCUAGGUUAUAUCAUGGUAUAACUCCUAAAUGUUACACAAAUAUACAUUAUUUCCUCCCACACCCUGAAAGUAUGUUUACAAAAAUCAGAAUUUGUUUCCUGUGUGUAUUGUUUUCCUAAUUAAAUUUGAAGGAGUAAAGAUUUCUUCCAUAUGGACUAUGUUUCUCCUUAAAUAGAGCAUCUGUUUUGGGUUGGGUACUUUAUGGCAGAGGUUCUCAACCUUUCCAGACUACUAUACCCCUUUCAGGGGUCUGAUUUGUCUUGUGUA